rnacentral:misc_RNA from 1 species
GAUGAAGAACGUAGCGAAAUGCGAUAAGUAGUGUGAAUUGCAGAAUUCAGUGAAUCAUCGAAUCUUUGAACGCACAUUGCGCCCCUUGGUAUUCCAUGGGGCAUGCCUGUUCGAGCGUCAUUUGUACCCUCCAGCCCUGCUGGGUAUUGGGCGUUUUGUUCCGCUACGCGCGUGAACUCGCCUCAAAUGCAUUGGCAGCCCGCCGUCCCGUGUGGGAGCGCAGCACAUUUUGCGCUCUCCGCUGCUGACGGUGGCAUCCACAAGUCUACCAUUUUACGCUUGACCUCGGAUCAGGUAGGGAUACCCGCUGAACUUAAGCAUAUCAAUAAGCGAGGA